CCGAAAAGGAAAGAGAGAAAGAUACCUCUGUCUCCCCACAUUUGGCAGACCUUUCAAGAGACAGGUUUGGUUCUGAAACUGAGCAUAAAUAAGAACAACUCAAUGAAACCCACUGGGAGCUGGAGCUGGUGUGAACGGCUUUUCCUUUCCAGUAUUUUUUUGUGCCCUGAUUGGAGCCCAAUGCUACUCUCCCUUACCUGAUGCCAUCAACACAGCCUGAAUUCAAGGCCAGUAGGCCAGGAACCAGAUAGCAUCAAGACAGAGGAGUUGGCAGAGAAGAAGAAAA
rnacentral:lncRNA from 1 species